rnacentral:lncRNA from 1 species
GCUACCGCUGCCCACCACCCCACACAGGGGACAUUAGGAACCAGGCAGGGAGACCCCCAUCCCAGCCCGCCCACCCCCAUCAGCAACUGCAGCCUCCAGGGUAGCUCCACCCAUGUUCCUCGCUCCCACCUUCCCAGGCUCACCUCCCGAGUUUCACACAGGGGCCUCUUCUCGGUAGAGCUUCGGGGAAAUCCAGGGAAGUUGUUUUCUAGUUUCUUAAUGCUGACAACGCAGGAAGCUACACCUGAGGGAGGUUAGAACGGGCCUUGAGCCAACGGGCAGGGUCGGCCACAGCUCCCACUGUGCCCCUGCCCAGACAAGGUUGGGAGUUCCCUAAAUGCCUGUUAGGACGAACACAGACAUUCAUAUGGUUGAAUGAACACUUCAGACCUUCUCGUGGUGCUGCUGCCCACCAGCCACUUGUUUCUGUGGUGUCACCAUCUUUGUUUAGCAACAUUCAUUUUACAGCUGCAUGAACUCGCACUUGCCCUUGUUCUUUUUCAUCCCUCAAAUGAGUAGAAAAACAGAAUUGAGUGAUAAUAUUUGUGCUAUUAAGCAUAGGUCUUAUAAGUUUAAUAAAACUGAAAAAUUGCCAGUAGUACCCCAAGCAGUUAACCUAUGACCUCAAUUCCUCAUUGAGGAAAAGAGAUCAGUUACAUGUAAACUUGUAACACGAUAGAGACAUGUAUUUUUUAAGAUUUUAUUUUUAAGUAAUCUUUUCACCCAACAUGGGGCUCAGACUCACAACCCCAAGAUCAACAGUCACAUGCUCCACGGACUGGGCCAGCCAGGUGCCCCUGCUAAAUAUCAUUGAAAAAUACAUCUGAUGGACCAACUGUCAUUAGAUAAGCCGUUUAUCUGGCUGAGAGGGAAGUGUAGACAUGGGGAAAUGGCAGCGGAGAGGAAGAUGCCCUCCUCACCACAGCAGCAGGGGGCUGAAGGGGUGUAAGGGGCUGAGGAGUGCCAUGCUGUGUUGAUCAUGGGUAGGGCGCCAUGGGCUACGCAGAGCUUAAGUGUGGAACUUCACCAAAUAACCAAAACCAUCUUAAUUGGGAACCAGUGGAGUCAUUGCUGGAGCUAGGGGGCCACCCUGUGGCUAAGUAUCAAAAAAUGAGGUUCCCCCCCCUACAUUUCUGCAAUUAAUCUUUUCAUCCAAAGAGUAGAUAGGAACACCAGGACAACAUUUCCUCAGUUUCUGCUCAGGAAGUUCUGGCCAUCCAAGCUAGAAUAUUUAGGCCACAUAUGUGCCUAGACCAGCAUCAUCAACACCACUUAGGAACUUGUUAGAAAUGCAGAUUUUUAGGUCUACCCCAAAACCACUGGAAUCAGGAAAUAGGGAUGGGGUUGGCCAUGAGGGUUUUAAUAAUCACCUCCAGGUGAUUCUGAUACCAGGUAAAGUCUGAGAACCACCAGCUUAGACCCCCUGGGUAAAAGAGCAUCUCCCUGAGCUGGGCUAGCAUAGCAGCUGUACUAAUUGUUGCUGUUUAUAAUUAUUGUAUCACUCAUUCAUUCAGCAACCGUUGUGUUUCAUUCAUUCAACAAACAUCUAGAGAAAGCAAGAAAGCCUAUAUGAUUGGAGCAGAGUGGCUGAGGGGAAUGGAGGAAAGGAGUUUUGAGAGGCAGGCAGGGGCCAGGUCGUGUAGACAAGUAGACCACAGUAAGGACUGAUGUGUCAUCGGAGAUAUAAGACUCUUAUAAAUAAUCGCUGCGGCUAUGGAUGGAGAGCAGACCAUCGUUGGAAGCAGAACAGAUAAGAGGCUGGAACAAAGCUCAGAAGAGGAGGAGUGGUGACUUGGAUUGGGGUGUGGCAUUAGACGUGUUGCCAUGGCUGGUUCUGGAUGGAUUCUGAAGGUAGAGCCAGUAGGACUUACGGAUGGAUUGGAUGUGAGAUGAGGCUGAGGGGAAUCUAGGUGGGCCCCAGGGUUUUAUGCCUGAGCAAAACAUAUUUAGUGAGAAAUGACUAAGUGCGUACUAAAGAUAUACUUACGACGUAUUGCAUUGCAUAAAGAUCAAAUAUUUUAGUAGGCAAGACCAAUUAAAUGAAGAUUAU